rnacentral:miRNA from 1 species
UUGUAGGUGAAGUAGACUUGGC